UACGUAGGGAGCAAGCGUUGUCCGGAAUCAUUGGGCGUAAAGCGCGCGUAGGUGGCUCUAUAAGUCCGUUGUGAAAGUCAAAGGCUCAACCUUUGAAAGCCGAUGGAUACUGUAGAGCUAGAGUCCGGAAGAGGCGAGUGGAAUUCCUGGUGUAGCGGUGGAAUGCGCAGAUAUCUGGAGGAACACCGGUGGCGAAGGCGGCGUUCUGGACUGCAACUGACACUGAUAAACGAAAGCCAGGGUAGCAAACGGG
rnacentral:rRNA from 1 species